AUGCACAGUGAACACCCAUGGGUGCUUCUAUAGCUCUCCUUGGUCUUGAACUGUGCUACAGUAAAAUGUGGUCUAUACCUCUGCAGUACAAGACACUCUGUUCUUGCUACAUGUAUUCAUGGGACCAGCACAAAU